CUGGAUGAACCUUUUGUGCACUUGUCUCAAGUCUUGUUUCUGGGCUAAUCUUUUCUGUUCCUGAUUGCACUUCCUGGGCCUGAUUUAUCCCCUUGUAGUGCCUGAAACUGUUGGCAAAUCCUGUUACCAGCACCCAGCUGUGCUGUCUCCAGCCUCUGUAGGACUGUGCCUUCAGUGAGGGCCCUGCUUGUGCUGGAUCUAGCCUUGGCUGCUGGCUUGCCCUCCUUUCCCUUGGGGAGCAUCUCCCAGUAGUUCAGUGUCCAGAUGCUGGCAAAGGCACUUAACUGACAGAUGAGUCACUGGGUCUUUGUGCUGCAGCUUGUUCCUCCAUUAAAUAAAGAAAACUUAGUUUGGGGAAUCUUGCAAGUCAUGAGAAUAUACUCUUUUGUGACUAUGGAGUCACUGACACCAAUUCUGUUUAUAACAACUUAACAAGCUCAGCUCUGAGGAGACAUUCCACAUCACAUUCUCUCUGCUUUAAAUAGGACAUUUGUAAAGCAAAAUCACAUCUGCUUUCAUGGUGAACGCUU